rnacentral:lncRNA from 1 species
UAUAGGAUAUAUAAAGCAGAUAUACCCUUGUCUCUCAGCUAUGGAUGGAAGAGUUUAAAUAGAAGAAUUUUGGGAUUGGAUCAAUGUAAGGGACUAAUCAUGCAUGCUCUACUAGACUAACAUCGUGGCUUUCGACCAUCAUUUCUAAAUCAAAAUAGGUUGGUUCCAAAUAUGGCCAAAUCUUAUAUGGAAACUCAAGUUUGAUUGACUAUUUGGGCUAGCAAGUUUGGGUGAAGGUUGAGAGUGUUGGGUAGGCU